ACAUCAGCUGUGCAAUUAAAUGUUUUGUCUUUCAAAGUUUAGCCAAAUUAUGCGGGAUUACGGGGAAAUUAGUGGAUUACGCGGAAAAAGCCAAAUUACGCGCUUCCGCACAAACGCGUAAUUCCAGAAGCCCUGUUUAUACAAGAUUUGAUUUGAACAGGAGAUAAUCCUGAAGAAGAACCAAUCCAAGAAUACCAUGAUGAUGAACAGGAUUCAUGAAGUGAAUCAGAGGGAUGGAGUGAUUACACUAGUAGUGAUGAGGAGGAAGUUAAUGAGGUGGCCAGUGCACUUGACAAUAUCCUUGCAGUCCCGAAAAUCACUGAAAUCAUAAAGUGAUCAGCUUCCCAUAUCAGAAAAGGCAGAGCAGCUGUCCAAUUUUUUACACUAUGAGUCAUUUUCACAACACCAUACUCCAGCAGAGGACUCAAAUGAAGGUUGAUGAAUGUGAUUUGCCGUUACCAGAGUUCGCGCCGUUAUCCUUUGAAAAAUGAGAAUGUGAACAGGCUCAGUCGAUAUUGAGUUGAAACAGCUUGUGUUAGCCGCUCAAGAAGCAAAAAUAUGCCAAAAUAUUUUUUACUGUGCCUACCUUUGAGUGGGGUUUGGGUUGGUGGCUAGGGUCGAUGCCCGUGUCUGUUGUUAUAAUCUGGGUCUUGUAGGGCAAACUGCUCCUUGACGUUUUUUGUUUGAGAGCAUGAGUGAGGUGUCACUCAGGAGAAGUCAAAAGAAAGAUUCCUUAGAAAGAGAACAUCUUCUAGGAAAAGCAUUAUGUAGUUUAAAAAAAACAUACUGUAGUCUUGUGACAGCUGGCUGAAACAGCUUCUGUAUGUAAACUCUAUAAAUGCCAAUAUUUUUCUGUUGAUAUUGUUUUGUUUUACAAUAAAGAAAAUUAACAGAACAUA